rnacentral:ncRNA from 1 species
CACAACUAAUUAUUCGAAAAGUGGAAUGAAAGCCGUCAUGUUGAGCUGAAACACUUUCCCUAAUACUCCUACGUGCGUCAAACUGUGAUAGCGGUGAGAGGUACGAAGCUAGGUGAAGUCGCCUGAAUUUAAUCUGGAGCCACUUAAUGAGAAGGUAUGAUUAAAGAUAGGGCGGGGGGCUAUAAG